rnacentral:rRNA from 1 species
AGAGUUUGAUCAUGGCUCAGGAUGAACGCUAGCGGCAGGCUUAACACAUGCAAGUCGAGGGGCAGCAUGUCCAGCAAUGGAUGAUGGCGACCGGCGGAAGGGUGCGUAACGCGUGAGCAACAUGCCCUAUACAGGGAGAUACACCAGGGAAACUUGGUCUAAUAUCCCAUAGCAUUCAUUGAAGGCAUCUUUAAUGAAUUAAAGCUUCGGUGGUAUAGGAUUGGCUCGCGUGACAUUAGCCAGAUGGUGAGGUAACGGCUCACCAUAGCAAUGAUGUCUAGGGGUUUUGAGAGGAAGGCCCCCCACACUGGGACUGAGACACGGCCCAGACUCCUACGGGAGGCAGCAGUGAGGAAUAUUGGACAAUGGAUGGAAAUCUGAUCCAGCCAUGCCGCGUGCAGGAAGACGGCCUUAUGGGUUGUAAACUGCUUUUAUACGGGAGCAAUAAGGGUUACGAGUAAUCCGAUGAGAGUACUGUAUGAAUAAGGAUCGGCUAACUCCGUGCCAGCAGCCGCGGUAAUACGGAGGAUCCGAGCGUUAUCCGGAAUUAUUGGGUUUAAAGGGUGCGUAGGCGGCCAUUUAAGUCAGCGGUGAAAUUUUGCAGCUUAACUGUAACAGUGCCGUUGAUACUGUUUGGCUAGGAUUUGGUUGUAGUGUGCGGAAUGUGUGGUGUAGCGGUGAAAUGCUUAGAUAUCACACAGAACACCGAUUGCGAAGGCAGCACACUAAGUCAUUAUUGACGCUGAGGCACGAAAGUGUGGGGAUCAAACAGGAUUAGAUACCCUGGUAGUCCACACUGUAAACGAUGAUAACUCGCUGUCGGCGAUACACAGUCGGUGGCCAAGCGAAAGCAUUAAGUUAUCCACCUGGGGAGUACGACCGCAAGGUUGAAACUCAAAUGAAUUGACGG